AUUGAACGCUGGCGGCAUGCCUAACACAUGCAAGUCGAACGAGUGGCGGACGGGUGAGUAAUGUCUGGGACACUGCCUGAUGGAGGGGGAUAACUACUGGAACCGGUAGCUAAUACCGCAUACCAUCAGAUGUGCCCAGAUGGGCUUAGCUAGUUGGUGGGGUGACGGCUCACCACGGCGACGAUCCCUAGCUGGUCUGAGAGGAUGACCAGGCACACUGGAACUGAGGGACGGUCCAGACUCCGACGGGAGGCAGCAGGGGGGAAUAUUGCAAAAUGGGAGCAAGCCUGAUGCAGCAAUGCAGCGUGUAUGAAGAGGGCCUUCGGGUUGUAAAGUACUUUCAGCGGGGAGGCGUUACCCGGAGAAGAAGCACCGGCUAACUCCGUGCCAGCAGCCGCGGUAAUAC
rnacentral:rRNA from 1 species